rnacentral:rRNA from 1 species
UUGGAGGGCAAGUCUGGUGCCAGCAGCCGCGGUAAUUCCAGCUCCAAUAGCGUAUAUUAAUGUUGUUGCAGUUAAAAAGCUCGUAGUUGAAUUUCGGGAUUAGUACGUUGGUCGUGCCUUCGGUACGUACUGGUGUUACUGAUUCCUACCUUCUGACGAACCAUCAUGUCAUUAAUUUGGUGUGGCGGGGAAUCAGGACUGUUACUUUGAAAAAAUUAGAGUGUUUAAAGCAGGCUCGCGCUUGAAUACAUUAGCAUGGAAUAAUGAAAUAGGACGUUGAUCCUAUUUUGUUGGUUUCUAGGAUUGACGUAAUGAUUAAUAGGGAUAGUUGGGGGCAUUAGUAUUCAAUUGUCAGAGGUGAAAUUCUUGGAUUUAUUGAAGACUAACUACUGCGAAAGCAUUUGCCAAGGAUGUUUUCAUUAAUCAAGAACGAAAGUUAGGGGAUCGAAGACGAUCAGAUACCGUCGUAGUCUUAACCAUAAACUAUGCCGACUAGGGAUCGGAUGAUGUUAAUUUUUUAAUGACUCAUUCGGCGCCUUACGGGAAAC